rnacentral:rRNA from 1 species
GAUGAACGCUGGCGGCGUGCCUAAUACAUGCAAGUCGAGCGAACAGACGAGGAGCUUGCUCCUUUGACGUUAGCGGCGGACGGGUGAGUAACACGUAGGUAACCUACCUAUAAGACUGGGAUAACUUCGGGAAACCGGAGCUAAUACCGGAUAAUAUUUCGAACCGCAUGGUUCGAUAGUGAAAGAUGGCUUUGCUAUCACUUAUAGAUGGACCUGUGCCGUAUUAGCUAGUUGGUAAGGUAACGGCUUACCAAGGCAACGAUACGUAGCCGACCUGAGAGGGUGAUCGGCCACACUGGAACUGAGACACGGUCCAGACUCCUACGGGAGGCAGCAGUAGGGAAUCUUCCGCAAUGGGCGAAAGCCUGACGGAGCAACGCCGCGUGAGUGAUGAAGGUCUUCGGAUCGUAAAACUCUGUUAUUAGGGAAGAACAAACGUGUAAGUAACUGUGCACGUCUUGACGGUACCUAAUCAGAAAGCCACGGCUAACUACGUG